rnacentral:rRNA from 1 species
UUCAAGAUAAGAUUUCCCACCGCAAGGGUAAGACCCCAGAAAGACUAUCUGGUUGAUAGGUCGAAGGUGUAAGUGCAGCAAUGUAUUUAGCUUAUCGAUACUAAUAGGUCGAGGACUUGACCAAUAUUUAUU